ACAAGCAGCGGAGCGUGUGGUUUAAUUCGUUGCUACACGAAGAACCUUACCUGGGUUUGACAUAUAAGUUGUAGGGAACUGAAAAGGGACGACCCUUCGGGAGCUUAUACAGGUGUUGCAUGGCUGUCGUCAGCUCGUGUCGUGAGAUGUCCGGUUAAGUCCGCUAACGAGCGCAACCCUCGCCGUAUGUUACAAGUGUCAUACGAGACUGCCGGUAAAAGCCGGAGGAAGGUGAGGAUGAUGUCAAGUCAGCAUGACCUUUAUAUCCAGGGCUACACACACGCUACAAUGGUCUGUACAAUGGGUAGCCAAGCCGCGAGGCGGAGCCAAUCCUGAAAGCAGGCCUCAGUUCAGAUUGCAGUCUGCAACUCGACUGCAUGAAGCCGGAGUUGCUAGUAACCGCAGGUCAGCAAUACUGCGGUGAAUACGUUCCCGGGUCUU
rnacentral:rRNA from 1 species